GAUGAACGCUGGCGGCGUGCCUAAUACAUGCAAGUCGAGCGAACGGACGAGGAGCUUGCUUCUCUGAUGUUAGCGGCGGACGGGUGAGUAACACGUGGAUAACCUACCUAUAAGACUGGGAUAACUUCGGGAAACCGGAGCUAAUACCGGAUAAUAUUUUGAACCGCAUGGUUCAAAAGUGAAAGACGGUCUUGCUGUCACUUAUAGAUGGAUCCGCGCUGCAUUAGCUAGUUGGUAAGGUAACGGCUUACCAAGGCAACGAUGCAUAGCCGACCUGAGAGGGUGAUCGGCCACACUGGAACUGAGACACGGUCCAGACUCCUACGGGAGGCAGCAGUAGGGAAUCUUCCGCAAUGGGCGAAAGCCUGACGGAGCAACGCCGCGUGAGUGAUGAAGGUCUUCGGAUCGUAAAACUCUGUUAUUAGGGAAGAACAAAUGUGUAAGUAACUGUGCACAUCUUGACGGUACCUAAUCAGAAAGCCACGGCUAACUACGUG
rnacentral:rRNA from 1 species